AGAAUCAACGCUGGCGGCGUGCCUAACACAUGCAAGUCGAACGAGAAAGGGGUAGCAAUACCCUGAGUAAAGUGGCGCACGGGUGAGUAACACGUGACUAACCUACCCUUGAGUGGGGGAUAACUGAGGGAAACCUUAGCUAAUACCACAUAAUACCCACGGGUCAAAGGAGCAAUUCGCUCGAGGAGGGGUCGCGGCCGAUUAGUUAGUUGGCGGGGUAAUGGCCCACCAAGACGAUGAUCGGUAUCCGGCCUGAGAGGGCGCACGGACACACUGGAACUGAAACACGGUCCAGACUCCUACGGGAGGCAGCAGUGGGGAAUUUUGCGCAAUGGGGGAAACCCUGACGCAGCAACGCCGCGUGGAGGAUGAAGUCCUUCGGGACGUAAACUCCUUUCGAUCGGGACGAUUAUGACGGUACCGGAAGAAGAAGCCCCGGCUAACUUCGCGCCAGCAGCCGC
rnacentral:rRNA from 1 species